UUUGUGGAGUUUUGGCCAUUGUUCAUAUCUAGAAACACUCUGAAAUCUAUCUGCUGAUCUGUGAAUGAAGCUACACAGCUAAAAAGAAGUGGAAGGGCCAAGAGAUUAAAGAAAAUAAACAAAACAACAGGAUGCUUCACACCUGAAAAAUAAAGUUAUCCAGCAAACCCUGUACUUUGUGAUACAGAAAUGCAGCUUUUACAUGACAGUAUGAUGAAUUAAUGAGGUUUUUUUUGUUUGCCUUUUGUCUUACUAUUUAUUGUGGGGGUGAAAGUGAAAACCAGCAAUUAUAUUUCAGAACUAGAAAAGCGGUCAGAGCAUCAGACAGAUUGUAAACAAAGCUCCAGAUUAAUCCAAUUUAUUUGGGUGAAAAUUGAUGAAUGGAGGUGAAUAUUAAAAUAAUUACCCCAACUGUCCCUUUACUGUUUGUUUGUUUACAACCUGUCUGUUGAACAUGAUGUGCCCAUUCACAGAUCUUAAUUUGAUUACAAAGUUAUUAUAAUAGUUAAAUAAAUACUGAUAUGGGAUGAGAGCGAUAAUAAUCAUCUCAUCUAACGCCAAGAAAAAAAAUAAGCGUAAGGAAAAAAAAUGAACAUCUUAAGGACAUUUUUGUGUAAUGUAACUGGGCACUGGCUUCAACCAAACAUGCAGUUCCGUGUCCACUCAGGAAAACAAUGAAUCCGUACCUAUGGAUCUCAUGUUGCCUCCCUCCAACCAUAAACAGGUGCCACCAAAUCACCUCAUUCCUUUGUUGCAGUGAGAGUUGACCAAAUGAAGGUUGUAACCAUUAUUGCUUGAAUGCUUAGUGUUGUCUGAAGAACUCACUGUCAAAGCAGACUUAUUGGAAUUUAAUUCAGGCCAGAUGAUUCUUGUCAGAUUGGACGCUUAUGUGUUCUGAAAUGUCCUCAAAAUGUAAAGUGCUUGUUUCUGCGACUGUGGUUUUGUUUGUCUCGUCUUAUUAUAUCGUGUGUCCCUUAUUCCUAAUCUUGGGAUUAAUCCCAGCAGCCUUCUUUCAGGAAAAAAAGCAAGCAGUAAUGGAAUGGAUGAGUAAAUGUUGCUUUAGAAGUUAUAUUUAAAAAUAAGGUGCUGCCACUCACUGAGCCAAACAACCCUCAAACAUCUCGGAUGAUUUGCAUCUGCAGUAUCUGAGAUGAAGGAGCCUUGGCUGCAGGCUUUCCUACCAGAUGAUUUUAAGGCAAUGUCAAAGCCGAUCAGCGCUGCAGUGAGGACGCGCUAAUAAUAUCCAAAUCAUUUCUGUCAUCUCAUGUGUUCAGCAGCCUCAACAGUAUGUGGGAUUGU